rnacentral:rRNA from 1 species
UUCGCAUGAAGCAGUGUGAAAAACUCCGGUGGUAUACGAUGGAUCCGCGUCUGAUUAGCUGGUUGGCGGGGUAACAGCCCACCAAGGCGACGAUCAGUAGCCGGCCUGAGAGGGUGAACGGCCACAUUGGGGCUGAGACACGGCCCAGACUCCUACGGGAGGCAGCAGUGGGGAAUAUUGCACAAUGGGGGAAACCCUGAUGCAGCGACGCCGCGUGAGUGAAGAAGUAUUUCGGUAUGUAAAGCUCUAUCAGCAGGGAAGAAAAUGACGGUACCUGACUAAGAAGCCCCGGCUAACUACGUGCCAGCAGCCGCGGUAAUACGUAGGGGGCAAGCGUUAUCCGGAUUUACUGGGUGUAAAGGGAGCGUAGACGGCAGCGCAAGUCUGAAGUGAAAUCCCAUGGCUUAACCAUGGAACUGCUUUGGAAACUGUGCAGCUGGAGUGCAGGAGAGGUAAGCGGAAUUCCUAGUGUAGCGGUGAAAUGCGUAGAUAUUAGGAGGAACACCAGUGGCGAAGGCGGCUUACUGGACUGUAACUGACGUUGAGGCUCGAAAGCGUGGGGAGCAAACAGGAUUAGAUACCCUGGUAGUCCACGCCGUAAACGAUGAUUACUAGGUGUUGGGGGACCAAGGUCCUUCGGUGCCGGCGCAAACGC